CUGCUCCUUCUCACAGCUGCCGCACCGUUCCUCCCUUCCACCCCUCCUCCUUCCCGGAUCCCCACCACGGCGCCGACCUGCAGGCAAAGGGCGACGAAGAGUGGCAGACGAGCACAACGAGGGAGAGGAAGAAGGGAGAUAAAAAGGAGGCCGGCGGCGAGGCCCAGCGACUAAUGCCUCUCCGCCUCAAGCCCCGGCAUCACUGCCACCAGAUCCACCUCGCAACCUCUCUUCCUCCCCUGUCUGACUGCUGCGUGGUCGCGUCAGGCCCAUGCCGGUGCCGCCGCCAUCGCUGGAUGGCUCCGUCGGUCCCUCCCGCUCCAGAUCGAAAACUGAGAGAGCGACGGGAGUGAAGAAGGGGAUCGGGGGAGGGGAGAGCACAGGAGAGAAGGCGAUCUCGCGGCUGACCGCAGUGUGCAAGGCAGACGGGUGAGAAACAUUUGUCGUCGUGCCGCUGGCGGCUGGAGCUUUGGAAUGCGGCCAUGGCCAUGGGCGGUCCUGGAGUCGGGAUCGCGUGCGUGAUGCCUCCAACCUGCUUUGCUGCUCCUGCGAUCUCAAGGCACGACGUCGGAUGAGAGAGAGCAGGGGAGGGCCAAGAGGCCAGCGGUGUGGAGUGGAGCAGCGAGGCUGAAGACCGGGCAGCGGACGCCUCACGGGGUGGAGGAGAGGCCGGUGAUAGGGAAAAGCAGCAUCUUCAUGGAUGAGAUCCUGACAGCUGAAGAUGGUGCGCACGGGAGGAGCUUGGAAGAUGUCAAGGGGCGCCGCGAGGAGUGGAGGAUCGAGGUCGUGGAUUGCCAGCUUCAAAUUUUGGUUGAGCACUUCCUCAAGAAUCUUGUUGAGGUGUCUGUUUCCCCUCUUUGUGUCAUGAAUGAUUGUGAUGGCUGCAGGGUCUUCGCAAGGAGUUGAAGGCUGAGGUCAUGGUUGCCAGCUUCAAUUUUUUGCUAAGCAAUUCCUCAAGAGUCUUUCCAAGGUGCUCUCCCCUCACUUUUUCUCUUACUUCCUCCCCUCCCAUCGCUAACGUUUAAACAAUACGUGUGCAAAUCUGAGGAUGAAGGGAAGAAGAAGAAUUUAACUAAACAGUUGAAGAAGAUCAAGGUGAUUUUUCUUCCCUUUGUUCUUUUAUUCUGACGUUAAGAUUUGUUAUGGCUAGAUGAGAUUUGUGGUGAAAAUUUCCCAUUCUUUUAUUUACCUACAUAUCUUGAAUGCACAAUUGAUGAUUUUGCUGGAUAGGUUACACAUCUAAAUAAUAAACAUUUUUAAAAUCUACAUUUUAUUCAUGUGAAAAUUUAGGGUGGAUUUGUGUUUUUCAGAAAUGAGGCAACCUUACAUGUUGAUAGUAAGUUGACUACCAGUUUAAAAGCUUAUGUUUGCAAAGUGUUUCCUGGGAUACCCCCCUCUCUCUUGAUUGAUAUAUGCAUAUACCAUAGGGGAAUGAUAGUUACUUUUAACAGGGAUUGGUGGUUCAUCACAAUUUUUCUAGCUUCUUUUGUCCUCCAAAUGAUAUAGAAGGCAGUCAAGUGCAUCCUCUAAUUUCUCGUGAUUUUUGUAGGACCUACUAUGAUGCAUAUUUGAAAGAGUGCAUCUAUUGUUUCAGCUGAAAAUUGAUCUCUAUUUGAAGGAGUGCAUCUAUUGUGCAUCUACGCCAGAAGACAAUGUGUUGUUUUUUAUUCCAUGCUCCAAAUAUUUCAUGUCCAAUUCAUAGACAUCCUUGAAUUUCUUAACGAUGAUGGCAUGUUUGGUGUUCAUAUUUUUGUCAGCCAAAUAAUAAUAGGUGCACUUGACUGUUUGAGGAAAUGCCAAUUGAAAUGCCAAUUGUGGUCAGCAUGUUGUAAGUACUUUGGGAAACAAGUUCUAGGGUAAGUUUAUCUGCUUGCUCAUGCAUUUUAAUACUUGAUUGAUGUCCUGAUAAUUUGUGAAGUUCUGUGUAACAUGUGAUAAGCUGCACAUCAGGUUGCAUGACAGCUUGUUUGUUGCUUUUAGGAUGUACAUGUACCCAGGUGGAUCAAAUACAGAUACCAAUCAUAUAUUACUAUUUUUACUCCUAUGUUUUUCUUGUGCCUGCCAAACAUUUCGAAAAUUGAUUAUAUCAUUUAGAUGUAUUCAGGCUGGGUUUCUGUGAUCCAAAAAAAUCAUCUGGCAUGGCUUUCUUUUUACAUACAAAACUAAGUGUGGAGUAGUGUAUAUGUUCAUUGCUUUCUUAUCACAUCGCAUUUGUUGGAGGUGCUAUACUGAUUUGAAGGAAAUGCUUUUAUAUUUCCAAGUUGAUCAACUACACAACUUCUGAGCCUAAAGCCUUUCUUUAAAAGGGGCUAGUCAAUGCAGCUCCAUGUUGUGUAUCUUGCUAUUGGGCUCUUUUUUCAGUAAUUAAAGUGGUUAAAUAUCUCUGAUGUUAAAUUCUUGGUUGAUUGCUUAUAUCCAAAAUAACUAUGUUAGUACACUGAAGCCAAUUUCUACAUUGUUAGUGAAGUUGGCUAAAUAGUUUUUGCGCCACUGAGAUAUAUAUGUGCAUUGCAUUCUAACCCUGUAAAUUGUUGUGCCAUUAGUUUAAUCCAGAAUAUAAUUAUGUUAGUACACUCUGCAAUAUAAUUAUGUUAUAUUCUGCUUUUGUCAGUUUGCUGGUCCAUAUUAAUUUCCUCGAGCUUAUGUUCACAUCUCGUCAUAUUUACACCUCUCCGUCGACUGCCACCUAUCAUGGAGGGAGAUGGCUUGGCCAGGCCGUCAACACCCAUCGGCAACUUCCGGCAGGCGCCGUCCCAUUCUUCUUCCCCUUGCUCUGACGCCUUCAUGGCCAAAAUCAUUAGCAGGAGCAAGAAGGUUAAGCACCAAUUAUGGUUAAAGCUUUGUCUCUUUUGUGUACUCAUGAUUGAUCUAAAUUUGCUGGUCGGCUUACAAAUUCAAGUAAUACGACUAUUGCAAUGCAUCUUACUACGUGUGUAUUUAUUUGCAUUGAUAUUUUCUCCUCCUUAGGCUCCAAAUCGUUUGUGGGUCAUAAAUUAUUGUGCAUUAUUGAUGAUUAAUUUGCAAUUUAAAUGACAACAGGGCUGGGUUUUAUAAGUGCAAUGGCUUGAAAUGUGACCUUCCAAUCAAGAAAUUUCCUCAGUGAGAAGCUUAUGUGAAGAAUGAUGUAAUUAAGUUAGCAAUUUACAGUUCUCUUUGAUAAUUGUAACUGAAUUUUCAAUGGCCAGUUCUCUCGAAUAAUGAGUUACUCCCUCAAUUUUACAAUAGAGAUAAUUUGUGAAAGUUGUGUUUU